GCCAUUGCUAUCAGGGUUUGACUAAGCCAUGCGAGUCGAGAGGUGUAAGACCUCGGCAUACUGCUCAGUAACACGUGGUUAACCUGCCCUAAGGUGGAGAAUACUCCCGGGAAACUGGGGCUAAUGCUCCAUAGUGGAUAUGUCCUGGAAUGGUAUAUCCUCGAAAGAUCCGUCGCCUUAGGAUGGGACUGCGUCCGAUUAGGUUGUUGGCGGGGUAACGGCCCACCAAGCCUUUUAUCGGUACGGGUUGUGGGAGCAAGAUCCCGGAGAUGGAUUCUGAGACAUGAACCCAGGUCCUACGGGGCGCAGCAGGCGCGCAAACUUUACAAUGCGAGCAAUCGUGAUAAGGAAACCCUGAGUGCCUGUCGAUGCAGGCUGUUCAUAUAUCUAAAUCAUAUGUGAAGAAAGGGCAGGGCAAGACCGGUGCCAGCCGCCGCGGUAAUACCGGCUGCUCGAGUGAUGGCCACUAUUACUGGGUUUAAAGCGUCCGUAGCUUGACUGUUAGGUCUCUUGGGAAAUCUUCGCGCUCAACGUGAAGGCGUCUAAGAGAUACCGGCAGUCUUGGAACUGGGAGAGGUAAACCGUACUUCGGGGGUAGGAGUGAAAUCCUGUAAUCCUCGAGGGACCACCUGUGGCGAAGGCGCCUCACCAGAACGGCUUCGACAGUGAGGGACGAAAGCUGGGGGAGCAAACCGGAUUAGAUACCCGGGUAGUCCCAGCCGUAAACGAUGCGCGUUAGGUGUAUCGGUGACCACGAGUCACCGAGGUGCCGAAGGGAAACCGUGAAACGCACCACCUGGGAAGUACGGUCGCAAGGCUGAAACUUAAAGGAAUUGGCGGGGGAGCACCACAACGGGUGGAGCCUGCGGUUUAAUUGGACUCAACGCCGGAAAUCUCACCGGAUAAGACAGCUGAAUGAUUGUCAAUCUGAAGGUUUUACAUGACUAGCUGAGAGGAGGUGCAUGGCCGUCGUCAGUUCGUACUGUGAAGCAUCCUGUUAAGUCAGGCAACGAGCGAGACCCA
rnacentral:rRNA from 1 species